UAAUAAGUGUUUUAUGGCACUUUUUAAAUCCAUAUCCACCUUGUGUGCAAUGUCGGCCGAUCUUCUUCAUGGAGAUCGACCAAACAUCAACCUUUAUCUUUUAACUCUUUGUCUGAAAAAUAUUAUGAAUAAACAAUUCAAAAUA
rnacentral:misc_RNA from 1 species